GUCGAGAAUUUUUCUCAAUGGGCGCAAGCCUGAAGGAGCGACGCCGCGUGGAGGAUGAAGGUCUUCGGAUUGUAAACUCCUGUCAUUAGGGAACAAAGCUCCCGGUUAACUGCCGUGGAGUCUGAUAGUACCUGAAGAGGAAGAGACGGCUAACUCUGUGCCAGCAGCCGCGGUAAUACAGAGGUCUCAAGCGUUGUUCGGAUUCAUUGGGCGUAAAGGGUGCGUAGGUGGCAGGGUAAGUCGGGUGUGAAAUCCCGGGGCUCAACCCCGGAACUGCACUCGAUACUGCCUUGCUCGAGUACUGGAGAGGAGACUGGAAUUUACGGUGUAGCAGUGAAAUGCGUAGAUAUCGUAAGGAAGACCAGUGGCGAAGGCGAGUCUCUGGACAGUUACUGACACUGAGGCACGAAGGCCAGGGGAGCAAACGGGAUUAGAAACCCGUGUAGUCC
rnacentral:rRNA from 1 species